rnacentral:rRNA from 1 species
GCAGCAUGCAGUAGUUUAGUAAGUCAUGAUGACGACAGCCCGGUGCAUCGACGUACGUACUAGCAGUAGCAAGCUAGCUGAGAGACUACUGUAGAGGGGAGUAGCAUCUUCAGUAGUAGUGAUGAACGGCGUAGUGAUAAGAAGUACUACCGGUGACGACGGCCGCCCCCCACGACUGAUACAACACUCAGAUACGACAGGGUGAGGAGCAAACAGGAUAUGACAUCGUAGUAGUCCACGCAAUAAACGACGUCUACGAGGAUGUUGCGGCCAUCAGCCGUGGCUUUAGGAGAUAACUCGAUAAGUAGACCGCGUGAGGAGUACGGUAGCAAGAUAAAAAAUCAAAUGAAACGACGGGCGCCCGCACCAGCGGUGGAGCAUGUGUUUUAAGUUGAUGCAAGGAGAAGAACAUUACCUACUGACGACAUCCAAAGAACUUUCCAAAGAUGGAUUGCUGCCUUCAAGAACUAUGAGACAGGUGCAGCAUGGCCGUCGUCAGCUCGUGUUGUGAAAUGUUGGGUUAAGUCCCGCAACGAGCGCCACCCUCAUCCUUGUUUGCCAGCGAGUAAUGUCGGGAACUCCAAGGAGACCGCCGGUGAUAAACCGGAGGAAGGUGGGGACGACGUCAAGUCAUCAUGGCCCUUACGAGUAGGGCUACACACGUGCUACAAUGGCGCAUACAGAGGGCCGCCAACUUGAGAAAGUGAGAGAAUCCCAAAAAGUGCGUCGUAGUCCGGAUUGGAGUCUGCAACUCGACUCCAUGAAGUAGGAAUCGGUAGUAAUCGUGGAUCAGAACGCCACGGUGAAUACGUUCCCCGUCCUCUACACUCCGCCCGUCACACCAGAUUUUU